rnacentral:rRNA from 1 species
GAUGAACGCUGGCGGCGUGCCUAAUACAUGCAAGUCGAGCGAACAGACGAGGAGCUUGCUCCUCUGACGUUAGCGGCGGACGGGUGAGUAACACGUGGAUAACCUACCUAUAAGACUGGGAUAACUUCGGGAAACCGGAGCUAAUACCGGAUAAUAUAUUGAACCGCAUGGUUCAAUAGUGAAAGACGGUUUUGCUGUCACUUAUAGAUGGUUCCGCGCCGCAUUAGCUAGUUGGUAAGGUAACGGCUUACCAAGGCGACGAUGCGUAGCCGACCUGAGAGGAUGAUCGGCCACACUGGAACUGAGACACGGUCCAGACUCCUACGGGAGGCAGCAGUAGGGAAUCUUCGGCAAUGGGCGAAAGCCUGACGGAGCAACGCCGCGUGAGUGAUGAAGGUCUUCGGAUCGUAAAACUCUGUUAUUAGGGAAGAACAAAUGUGUACGUAACUAUGCACGUCUUGACGGUACCUAAUCAGAAAGCCACGGCUAACUACGUG